rnacentral:rRNA from 1 species
AGAGAGAGACAUGCGCGCAUAUCAAUAAGCGGAGGAAAAGAAACUAACAAGGAUUCCCCUAGUAACGGCGAGUGAAGCGGGAAGAGCUCAAAUUUGAAAUCUUAAAGGGUUUCCCUUUACGAAUUGUAGUUUAAAGAAGUGUUUUCUGUUGAGGUUUUGGUAAAAGUUCUUUGGAAUAGGACAUCAUAGAGGGUGAGAAUCCCGUAUUUGACCUUUACUUUCAACUUUGUGAUACACUUUCAAAGAGUCGGAUUGUUUGGGAAUGCAGUCCAAAAUGGGUGGUAAAUUUCAUCUAAAGCUAAAUAUUGGCGAGAGACCGAUAGCGAACAAGUACCGUGAGGGAAAGAUGAAAAGAACUUUGAAAAGAGAGUUAAACAGUACGUGAAAUUGUCAAAAGGGAAGCGUUUGACACCAGUGUUGUUUUUCUGAAAAUCAAUUAAAGAACUGUUUAUGCUAAGUUGUUUAGACUUUAUCAGCUAACUGUUUAGUUUUGAGCUUUUCUUUAAUGCACCUUUUCAGUUAACAAGUCAACAUCAAUUUCUUUUGCUGUAAAAAAGCUUGAGGAAGGUGGCUUGAGAUUCGUCUUAAGUGUUUAUAGCCUCUUGCCUAUGCAGUCGGAGAGAUUGAGGUCUGCAGCGUAGAUCCUUCGGGGCUAAAUGCAUUUGUGCUAAGUUAUAGCAUUUUAUAGACAACUUGUUGACUAUGAUUUGUCUUGUAGCUUACUCGCUUAUGUUAUUUUACCUACGCUUAGGAUGUUGAGCGCAUGUCUCUCUCU